rnacentral:rRNA from 1 species
CAGAGAGGCCYCAAGGCGCAACGAGAGUGGAGGCCGGCUAAGGGCCCGGCCGAGGCGGGAUCCGGCCACCCGUUAACGGUGGCCGGCGCACCGCCGCCSUGCCGUGAGUYCGGCGCUCGUCUCGUCUUCCUUCGGGGRGGCGGCGGGCGUCGCGUCUGCGGCGGAGGAAGAGCGGGCACGUAUGCCCGAGCAGGACGAAGCCAGAGGAAACUCUGGUGGAGGUCCGCAGCGAUUCUGACGUGCAAAUCGAUCGUCCGACUUGGGUAUAGGGGCGAAAGACUAAUCGAACCUAUAGGA